AAUUGUUUCCUUAUUUGAAUUCCCGGUACUGGAUUUGCCUGUUCUUAUCUACAAUUCUGUUGCUAAUUUUGUUCUUUAAUCGAUCCUUUUUAACUGAUUUGUUCCCUUAACUUGUAUUUCUCCCUUUUUUCUUAUUACUUCCUCUCAUCUCCUCUCCCUUUAUAUAGUGGCCACAAAUUUACAACAUUCUCUCUUUGUUUUAUUUUCUUCUACGUUUCUCUUUUGUUCUCUAACUGGUUCUUGAUCACAUUCUUAAAUUCUUAAAGCACCCUAUUCAGAGCAAUAUGCCCCUCCUAUGAUGGGAAUUGAGAGCAAAAGUGUGACUAAAUCCACCAACUUGUUACGCAUACCUACCAUUGUUUGUUUAUCUUGCUAUCAGAUUUUCAAGAAAGUAAAUAGAGAAUUCUUGAUUUGAGUAAAAACGUGAACAAGGCGGAGGAGAUUCAAGAAAGUAAAGAAAAAUAGACGAAGAAGGUGAGACUUCUGUGAUGAUUUAUAUGCAUACAUGUGGUUAUAGAUUUUUCAUCAACAUUUUUUCGAGAUAUAAGUUUAUUAGAAAUUUACAAUAAACCUUUUAAAAAAAUAAAAUAAAAUAAAAUAAACAAUUUUUGCCUUUUCUUAAUGUUAAGUGAAAAUUUCUUUGUUCCAUAUUAAAUUAUAUUUUUACUGAUUUAAGAUGCCAUUGAUGUUAAUUUCCGUAAAAAUCUCCUCACCAACAAUUAGGAUCAGUUUUUACAUUUUUAUGUAAUUUAAGAUUGUAUAUAAUUCAAAAUAGAUAAUUGUAUUUUGUGUAAUUUAAUUAUCAUUUUUUAUACAAAUUAAUUCCAUUUUGGUUAUUGCUCCGAAUAAUUUCCUCAAUACUUGAGGAAGUCCGAAGCACCAACUCUCAAAAAUCAUUUAUAUAUUUUAAAUUGUCACAAAUUCAUUUUAAUAAUUAUCCUUAGACAUUCUACAUGGUUUCUUUUAAUUCUUUGUCUUCUAUCAAUACAAUUGAUACCCAGAAAUCGAAGAACGUUAGAACUUUGAUCACUUGAUUUGUUUUGAUUUAAUUUCAUAUGCAUCAUGCUUAAGCAAUUAAAUUGACAAGAUUAAUAUUAUUUAUUUCUUUCUUUCUUUAUUUGUCAAUUCCUUGACAUCGAAUUCUUUAUUGUGUUCUUCGUUUCUCUUUUGUUUCUUGAACUAUUUUUUAAUCACAUUCUAAUAGCUUUCUUCUAACAUGAUCUUUAUAGUUUUGAAGAUAACAUGAGCCCGUAGUUGAAUGAAGAAGACUUUUAUCGACGAUCCAUCGUCCAACAAUUGUGAGGAAAAAUGUGGUAGUAGACUGUUUAUUUAACUUUUUUGUGUAGCAUCUCUACCAACUUAUAAUUGUCUUAUUUUGAUUGGUUGAAAUUGUGUGGGACCUCAUGACAAAUGAAGAGGUCUGUGAUUUUGCUCGGGAUAUCAUUUAUCUCUUUAUUUGUCAUGACGUCCCACAUCCAUUCCUGAAGAAAUAAGACAAUUAUUUAACAUUAAUUUUGUGAAUCAUGUAUAUCUAGAAC
rnacentral:lncRNA from 1 species